rnacentral:misc_RNA from 1 species
UGGUUCUCUUGAAGAACUUGUCUACACUCGUCAGGUCUACAAACAGCAGUUAUCAAACAUUGCUGUCUCUGGAAAUAUGGAAAAACGCUAUUUCGAGGGAGUUCAGGAUAGCAAGGAAUUUCAAGGGGAGCUAUUUGGAAUAUGCAAUCUUUUCAGAGACUUAUCUGACAAGCUCUUCACAAGUAAUAUCAUUGAAUUGCAUG